GUUAAUGGCGGGCGGUAGCCGCUGAGGGGGUUGCAGAUAACCGCUUUCCGCACUGGGAAAGUCUCCCCUGCCUCCCACUUUCUGCUCGCUGCCAGCGCCGGAGCUUGCCAGCAUGUCUAUGGUACCGCCCAAUCGCUCGCAGACCGGCUGGCCACGGGGGGUCACUCAGUUGGGCAACAAGUACAUCCAGCAGACCAAGCCCCUCACCCUGGAGCGCACCAUCAAUCUGUACCCUCUUACCAAUUAUACUUUUGGUACAAAAGAGCCCCUCUAUGAGGACAGCUCUGUGGCAGCCAGAUUUCAGCGCAUGAGGGAAGAAUUUGAUAAAAUUGGAAUGAGGAGGACUGUAGAAGGGGUUCUGAUUGUACAUGAGCACCGGCUACCCCAUGUGUUACUGCUACAGCUGGGAACAACUGUCUUCAAACUACCUGGUGGUGAACUUAACCCAGGAGAAGAUGAAGUUGAAGGACUAAAACGCUUAAUGACAGAGAUACUGGGUCGUCAGGAUGGAGUUUUGCAAGACUGGGUCAUUGAUGACUGCAUUGGUAACUGGUGGAGACCAAAUUUUGAACCUCCUCAGUAUCCAUAUAUUCCUGCACAUAUUACAAAGCCUAAGGAACAUAAGAAGUUGUUUCUGGUUCAGCUUCAAGAAAAAGCCUUGUUUGCAGUCCCUAAAAAUUACAAGCUGGUAGCUGCACCAUUGUUUGAAUUGUAUGACAAUGCACCAGGAUAUGGACCCAUCAUUUCUAGUCUCCCUCAGCUGUUGAGCAGGUUCAAUUUUAUGUACAACUGAAUUCCUGAGCAGUGGAGAAGUAAAAGAAGCCGCUUGUCUCUGUGAGCACAGCUAUAUACAGUGUAGAAUAAAUGUGGUAGAAAAGUU